GACGAACGCUGGCGGCGUGCUUAACACAUGCAAGUCGAACGAAGAGCGAUGGAAGCUUGCUUCUAUCAAUCUUAGUAGCGAACGGGUGAGUAACGCGUAAUCAACCUGCCCUUCAGAGGGGGACAACAGUUGGAAACGACUGCUAAUACCGCAUACGAUCUAAUCUCGGCAUCGAGGAUAGAUGAAAGGUGGCCUCUACAUGUAAGCUAUCACUGAAGGAGGGGAUUGCGUCUGAUUAGCUAGUUGGAGGGGUAACGGCCCACCAAGGCGAUGAUCAGUAGCCGGUCUGAGAGGAUGAACGGCCACAUUGGGACUGAGACACGGCCCAGACUCCUACGGGAGGCAGCAGUGGGGAAUCUUCCGCAAUGGACGAAAGUCUGACGGAGCAACGCCGCGUGAGUGAUGACGGCCUUCGGGUUGUAAAGCUCUGUUAAUCGGGACGAAAGGCCUUCUUGCGAAUAGUGAGAAGGAUUGACGGUACCGGAAUAGAAAGCCACGGCUAACUACGUG
rnacentral:rRNA from 1 species